rnacentral:lncRNA from 1 species
GGCGAAUUGUGAAGAAACAUGAUUUCAAUCAAACGCAGACUGUGCAGAACUUGCCGCCGCGGCCGCAACGCCCUCCGCUUCCAAUGGCGAUCAGCCAGAUCCACCGGCGACAUCAAACAUUGUUAUGUCGUCCAGGGAUCGACUCUCUCUUCAGCGGUGGUGGCAUCAGGUCUGUCCCCCUUUUACCUUCUAAUUUCGACAAGGUAUCAUCACUUUGUUUUCACUUUUUCUUAUGCUAUUUCCUCUUUCACUUAUUUUUUAUUGCUUUUGGGUUUCAAACUUUCAUUUUAAGUUUUUAUCUACAAAAUCGCAAUCAGCAUGGAAUGACUUCGUUUGUGCAUUGAUUUUGUUUCCCCG